rnacentral:rRNA from 1 species
GACGAACGCUGGCGGCGUGCUUAACACAUGCAAGUCGAGCGAUGAAAGCCUUAUGAACUAUUCGUAGUGAUUGGGGCCGGAUUAGCGGCGGACGGGUGAGUAACGCGUGAGCAACCUGCCUUAAACAACGGGAUAGCCUCGGGAAACCGGGAUUAAUACCGUAUGAGACCCCGCCUUCACAUGAAGGAGAGGUUAAAGAUUUAUCGGUUUAAGAUGGGCUCGCGUCUGAUUAGCUAGUUGGUGAGAUAAAAGCCCACCAAGGCAACGAUCAGUAACCGGCUUGGGAGAGUGAACGGUCACAUUGGAACUGAGACACGGUCCAAACCCCUACGGGAGGCAGCAGUGGGGAAUAUUGCACAAUGGGGGAAACCCUGACCCAGCAACGCCGCGUGAAGGAAGAAGGUCUUCGGAUCGUAAACUUCUAUCCUUGGUGAAGAUAAUGACGGUAGCCGAGAAGGAAGCCCCGGCUAACUACGUGCCAGCAGCCGCAGUAA